UACGUAGGGGGCAAGCGUUGUCCGGAUUUAUUGGGCGUAAAGAGCGUGUAGGCGGUCUGGUAGGUCCGUUGUGAAAACUCGAGGCUCAACCUCGAGACGCCGAUGGAAACCCUCAGACUAGAGUCCGGAAGAGGAGAGUGGAAUUCCUGGUGUAGCGGUGAAAUGCGCAGAUAUCAGGAAGAACACCCGUGGCUAAGGCGGCUCUCUAGUACGUGACUGACGCUGAGGAGCGAAAGCGUGGGGAGCGAACGGG
rnacentral:rRNA from 1 species